CAACCAAAAUGAUCGUUGCUAAAAAUACUACUUGUUUAACUGUGUUUUAGGAUGGCCCUUUAACUGUAAAUGGGCAUAUAUUGCAAGUCCUAGCAUUGUCAUAAGCAAGGGGGCUCAUACUUUCUAAACUUUGUAGCUAUAGUUCACAAAGUGUAUUUCUUGUUUUCUGCAAUGAUGUCUAGAUCAUGGACACAUAUUGCAAGAAAAUAAAUGAUAGAUUUGCG